UUAGGCAAAAACAAAACCAUUAGGUGGAUGACUUGGUUCGAAAUAGCGAAGAAGGGCGUGGCAAGCUGCGAUAAGCUCUGGGUAGACGCAUGCAGUCUUUGAUCCAGAGAUUCCUGAAUGAGACUUCUUUCUCGUAAGAGAAUCCAGUAAUGGAGGCGAACGCGGGGGAUUGAAGCGUCUUAGUACCCGCAGGAAAAGAAAUUAAUAAAGAUGCCGGGAGUAACAGCGAGCGAAACUGGCACAGAGCAAACCGAAUCCUGCUUGUAAAAGUAAGGAAAUGUGGUGUUGUAGGACCAUCUUUUAGUCCGAUCCAUACGAGUCAAACUUAUCUGGAAAGAUAGGCCAUAGAGAGUGAUAGCCUCGUAGGCAAAGUAUGGAGGAUGUGGUGGUAUCCUGAGUAGGGCUCAUUGGAUAUUGGGUCUGAAUCUGGGAGGCAUCAACUUCCAACUCUAAAUAUAGUUCGAGUCCGAUAGCGCACAAGUACCGUGAGGGAAAGUUGAAAAGAACCCUUAACAGGGAGUUAAAAGAGCCUCAAACCUAAUGGUGAUAGUAAGAUACAGCUUUUCGGAGUUGUAUCGUACGUUUAGAAUAACGGACCAGGGAGUGCAUCUGAGUGGCAAGGUUAACUCUUAAGAGGAAACCGAAGCGAAAGCAAGAACGCGCAAGUAAUGAGGCGUGAAGUACGAAAGUGCUUUUAGUCACUUGGGUGCGACCCGAAACCAGGCGAUCUAACCCUGAGCAGGGUGAAGCAAUAGCAAUAUUGUGGAGGCCCGAAGAGGUUCUGUGGACAAGCGUUCUUCAGACUUGGGGUUAGGGGUGAAAAGCCAAUCGAGCCUGGUGAUAGCUGGUUCCUGCCGAAGUUGGCCGCAGUCAAGUCUCAGCAGAGAUAGUUGAGAAGGUAUAGCCACGGAUUAAGGUUCUUGGGAUAGAAAUAUCUCGGUCCUUUGUCCAACUCAAAAUGUCUCAACGUCGUAGAAGCUGGGAAACGGGGAUGUUGGGUAAACUGAUGUCUCGAAAGGGCAACAACCCAGACUGUAGUUAAGGUCCCUAAAUAAUGAUUAAGUGUUAGUGGGCGAAAGGUGUUUGUCGUCAGAGACAGCGGGGAGGUAGGCUCAGAAGCAGCCAUCCUUUAAAGAAAGCGUAACAGCUCACCUGUCAAGACGCCAAGCCCUGAAAAUGGACGGGGCUAAAUCAUUUACCGAUACUAUAGGCUCCAGUAAUGGAAGCGGUAGGCAGGCGUUCUGCUUGAGCAGAAACUUUUUCGAGAGAAUGAGUGGAUCGAGCAGAAAUGAGAAUCCUGGUAGUAGUAGGAUCGAUACAGAGUUAGAAUCUCUGGUACCGAAAGAGCAAGGGUUUCUUAGCAAUGUAGAUCAGCUAAGAGUAAGUCGAUCCUAACCAAUCUCGUAAUUGAGUUAGGGAAAGGGAAAACGGUUAAAAUUCCGUUACUGAUUGAAUACGUGUGGCAACAUUAAGGCUGAUUUCCGACGCUUUGGGCUAGACUGACAUUCAUCGUCGUGAAUGCUAAUAAGGAUAAAUCAAGGGAGUAUCUUAAGGAUGAGAACUUGAUUAAACCUUAGAAUGGCUCUCCUUAAGGAGGGUUUAGUUGAGGCCGAGAGCCCGUGAAAAGGAAAGCGGCAAGGAUUUCAAUCAUUCGUACCCAGAACCAGCACUGGUGCUCUAGGUUAGUAGCCUAAGGUAUGAGGGAGUAAUCUAGGUAAGGGAACUCGGCAAAUUGGUUUCGUGGCUUCGGUAUAAGAAAUCCCUGCGUUUGUGUAAUCAUUUAUGCAAAUACAGGGCUCAGUGACCAAGGAGGCCCGACUGUUUAACAAAAACGUAACCUCUCGCUAGUCCGCGAGGAUGUGUAUGGGAGGUGACGUCCGCCCAGUGGCAAGAUCUAAAACUUCAGUUCAAUGGAGCUAAGGAUUGGUAAACGGCGGGAAUAACUAUAAUUCUCUUAAGGUAGCGAAAUACCUUGUCGUUUUAUUGACGACGUGCAUGAGUGGCGUAACGAGGUCUCCACUGUCCCUACCUAGAG
rnacentral:rRNA from 1 species